rnacentral:tRNA from 2 species
UUAAUUAAAGCCAAAGAGAGGCAUGUUGCUGUUAACAACAAGAUUAAACUAAUAGUUUUAAUUGAU